rnacentral:rRNA from 1 species
GAGCUCAAAUUUAUAAUCUGGCACCUUCGGUGUCCGAGUUGUAAUCUCUAGAAGUGUUUUCCGCGUUGGACCGCACACAAGUCUGUUGGAAUACAGCGGCAUAGUGGUGAAACCCCCGUAUAUGGUGCGGACGCCCAGCGCUUUGUGAUACACUUUCAAUGAGUCGAGUUGUUUGGGAAUGCAGCUCAAAUUGGGUGGUAAAUUCCAUCUAAAGCUAAAUAUUGGCGAGAGACCGAUAGCGAACAAGUACCGUGAGGGAAAGAUGAAAAGCACUUUGGAAAGAGAGUUAACAGUACGUGAAAUUGUUGGAAGGGAAACGCUUGAAGUCAGACUUGCUUGCCGGAGCUUGCUUCGGUUUGCAGGCCAGCAUCAGUUUUCCGGGGUGGAUAAUAACGGUUUGAAGGUAGCAGUCUCGGCUGUGUUAUAGCUUUCCGUUGGAUACAUCCUGGGGGACUGAGGAACGCAGCGUGCUUUUUGCGAAAGACUCGUCUUUUUCACGCUUAGGAUGCUGGUGGAAUGGCUUUAAACGACCCGUCUUGA